rnacentral:rRNA from 1 species
GACGGAGGGUGCAAACGUUGUUCGGAAUCACUGGGCAUAAAGAGCACGUAGGCUGCGCGCUAAGUCAGGUGUGAAAGUCCAGGGCUCAACCCUGGAAAGCCGGUGGAUACUGCAGGGCUAGAGUCCGGAAGAGGCGAGUGGAAUUCCUGGUGUAGCGGUGAAAUGCGUAGAUAUUGGGAGGAACACCAGUAGCGAAGGCGGCUCACUGGACCGGAACUGACGCUGAGGCGCGAAAGCGUGGGGAGCAAACAGG